rnacentral:rRNA from 1 species
UUGGGUUGUAAACCUCUUUUCUCAGGGAAGAACACAAUGACGGUACCUGAGGAAUCAGCAUCGGCUAACUCCGUGCCAGCAGCCGCGGUAAUACGGAGGAUGCAAGCGUUAUCCGGAAUGAUUGGGCGUAAAGCGUCCGCAGGUGGCGAUGUAAGUCUGCUGUUAAAGAGUGAGGCUCAACCUCAUAAGAGCAGUGGAAACUACAUAGCUAGAGUGCGUUCGGGGCAGAGGGAAUUCCUGGUGUAGCGGUGAAAUGCGUAGAUAUCAGGAAGAACACCGGUGGCGAAAGCGCUCUGC